rnacentral:rRNA from 1 species
UACGUAGGGCGCAAGCGUUAUCCGGAAUUAUUGGGCGUAAAGAACUCGUAGGCGGCUUGUCACGUCGGGUGUGAAAGCCCGGGGCUUAACCCCGGGUCUGCAUUCGAUACGGGCUAGCUAGAGUGUGGUAGGGGAGAUCGGAAUUCCUGGUGUAGCGGUGAAAUGCGCAGAUAUCAGGAGGAACACCGGUGGCGAAGGCGGAUCUCUGGGCCAUUACUGACGCUGAGGAGCGAAAGCGUGGGGAGCGAACAGG